CCACGACCACCGCGGCACAGCGCACUGCUUCUCUCAAGUUGUCAUUAUCAACCGCCAAAAACCUGGAGGCCGGAGCUGCUCCCUGUUUCUCUCUCUCUCUCUGAGUGAUUAGGCUCCAAUGGCUUCAUUGGACGAAGAAACCGCAAAAAAACUCCUUCGUCAGGUGGAGUUCUACUUCAGCGACAGCAAUUUACCUCGAGAUGAUUUCCUUAUGAAGAAAGUCUCUCAAGGCAAAGAUGGCG
rnacentral:misc_RNA from 1 species